rfam:Gossypium raimondii Chr11_contig_229, whole genome shotgun sequence.
CACGUCAGCGCGAUGUGCUGACUCAACGGGAAAUCGCAUCCUAGAGGAAGCGAUUUCCUGUUGAGUUAGCAUAUCGCGCUGACGUGG